UUUCUCGGAUGGUCUCCAGGAGUUUCCGGGGACCCCCCGGAUCCCGUCGGGACGCCAUCACUUGAAAAAUCUGUUUCGAAAAGAGAGAAAAUGCGAAACUUCACAACACAGUCAUCUUUGAGUGACGAGAAAUGUAAACAGACAAGGCGGAUCCCGAUGUACAGAGGCCGGACCUAUAGCGACUGGCGGAUGUCCAGGGUCACGCGACCAGAUCAAAGGUCACGUCAUCGAACUUCAUAGAUAGAUAGCGCAUAAUGCAAAGGCGGGCCCAUGGAUCUGCAUACAUUAUGACCUAACGAAUGUGUACUCUCAUAACAAGGGUCUAUAUCUCUCAUAGCCCAGAGCUCCCUGCUGGGUCCGACUUUUUUUUUACAUCCAGUUUUGUUAUUGAAAUAACACAACUAAGAACCGUCACGGGGAUGACUCGGUGAUAUGCCAAUAUUUCAGGAUGAACAAACGAGAUUAUGUGUCCAUUUCAAGUGUUGUUUGUUUUCUAAACAACUGAGGACUGAUGACAAGCGCUGAUAAUUCUUAGACACGACAGGGACCAUUCAAAUGAUGACAAAAAACAACACAAAUAGGAUACCCACACCUAACAGCUCGCACAGUAGCCGUGUUAAUCCACUCUGUGACAUAUGGCCAUUUACCUCGGAGGCUGUCUCUGUUACCCAAGAAUCACUGACCAUGUAUACCUUAAUCCUGUCAGUAAAGAUUAAUUUUAUAACUCUAUAGACAAUUUCAGGGAUAAUGCAGAAAAGGGAACCGAUAUUGUUUCUUGAGUCCCUGGUAUAGCUUAUGAAUUUUUAUCGAUAUGAAAAAUGACAAAAGAGAUUAAAUCACACCAGAGUAUAAUAAAUUUCACGUAUACAUGUAACAAACAGAACCUCAUAACAUUGUGUGACGGAAUAAAGAACAACAGCGGUUUGUGCUUUACUGUCCCCCCGGCAAUUUAUGGAAAUAUAUAUCGUCCCAUUAUGUCGUCUUUUAUCAUUAUAAGAACUAGUAGGGCAGAUUGGAGGGAGAUAGACCCCUGACUGUCGUCACGUCACAUGAUACACUCCUAGCUUUAUCAGGACCCCCCGAAAAGAAAGGAAACAUUCACCUUAAAAAUCAGGUUAAAACUUUAUGACCACGAACUGUAAUUGAAACUAAAUCGCGAUAAAAUGUCACCCAGUUAUACAACUUUCGUGACAUGCAAACUAGUCAAGGGACCUUCAUCAGGAAUUGGUCAGUCAGAGUCUUAGAUGUCGCAUCUCUUUAUUCAGACCUCAUUAAAAACGGCAUCAAGCAAGCUGAGUUCCUGCGACAGUUCCUCCAAAGGUUUAUAAAGUUUCUGGUCGUUUAUGAUCCAUGGCAUGUGACGCGUGUAAACAAUGUUUGACGUGCCACAGACACCAUCAGGUGACAACAGACAACGGUGUGGUCCAGGAAUCACUGCUGCCAACCAGUUAUUUAUUGGAAGUUGUUUAUAUCGUGAUGGCUUUGUUGGGUUGUGUGUAUUCUCUUUUGAGAAGUGGACAGGCAUAGCCUACAUCCACUUCUCUUCGCAAGCCCUCAUAUUUUGAUUCUGGAAAACGUGUAAAUGUCGGAACCAAAGACGGUUUACGGAUGUAGGCUAUGCCUGUCCACUUCUCAAAAGAGAAUAGGUUGUGUGUUGGAACAUUAGACCUUCCAGAGAGAGAUGAAUAGAGCGAGGUAGAGGGAAAGAAAACAGAACUCAACGUAAAAAAGAGCUUACUAAAACAAUUUGACAUACACGUAAAUAAAAGAAAGUCAGUUGAAUUGCUAAAGAAAUGUAUAUGAUAAGGACUUAUCAUUUAUAGACCUAUGAACAUUUCUCGUAACAUAUUGCAUGUCUGUAAAAUUCUGAUGUUUUUAAAUGCAUCAUAAACUAUUGAA